GUGAGGAAUAUUGCGCAAUGGAGGCAACUCUGACGCAGCCAUGCCGCGUGCAGGAAGAAGGCGCUACGCGUUGUAAACUGCUUUUAACCGGGAAGAAACCCCAGGACGUGUCCUGGGUUGACGGUACCGGAGGAAUAAGCACCGGCUAACUUCGUGCCAGCAGCCGCGGUAAUACGAAGGGUGCAAGCGUUAUCCGGAUUCAUUGGGUUUAAAGGGUGCGUAGGCGGAGCGUUAAGUCAGUGGUGAAAUCCUGCAGCUUAACUGUAGACUUGCAAUUGAUACUGGCGCUCUUUGGUGCGCUUGAAGUGGGCGGAAUGUGCCGUGUAGCGGUGAAAUGCUUAGAUAUGGCACAGAACACCAAUUGCGAAGGCAGCUCACUAAGGCGAUACUGACGCUGAGGCACGAAAGCGUGGGGAUCGAACAGGAUUAGAAACCCGGGUAGUCC
rnacentral:rRNA from 1 species